rnacentral:rRNA from 1 species
UACAGAGGUCCCAAGCGUUGUUCGGAUUCACUGGGCGUAAAGGGUGCGUAGGCGGUCGGGUAAGUCUGAUGUGAAAUCCCGCAGCCCAACUGCGGAACUGCAUCGGAUACUAUUCGGCUAGAGGAUUGGAAGGGGGACUGGAAUUCUCGGUGUAGCAGUGAAAUGCGUAGAUAUCGAGAGGAACACCAGUGGCGAAGGCGAGUCCCUGGACAAUUCCUGACGCUGAGGCACGAAAGCUAGGGGAGCAAACAGG